GUCACAUUCACUUAAGACUAGAGAACUGUCACAGCAGACUGAGCAGUGUUAAACUUUGCCCAUGGAAAGGAAUUUUUUGUUGGUGAGCAUUUAACCCUGAGCUUGCCUUAGUAAUUUUUCCUGUAUACCCCUUCCCACAGUUGAGAGGACAGCAUUUGAGUUGUAUUUUGGAGCAUGAAUGAAGUUGGCAGGUGAAUGUUACCUCCAGGUGAGUGGAGUGCAGGUGGAAACUUUUAUGGGCUAUGUGUCUAUGGCCAGUGAUCUGUGUUCUACGUAUUUUUAUUA